GCUUAACACAUGCAAGUCGAGCGAGAAUCGUUUUGCUGAAAGCUUCGGUCUGACGCAGAAUGAGGAAAGCGGCGAACGGGUGAGUAACGCGUGGGCAACCUGGCCUUAAGAAAAGGAUAGCCCCCGGAAACGGGGAGUAAUACUUUAUGAGAAUGAAAGAGGGCAUCCUACUUUCAUUCAAAGCGCAAGCGCUUAAGGAUGGGCCCGCGUAUCAUUAGCUAGUUGGUGAGAUAACAGCCCACCAAGGCAACGAUGAUUAGCCGGUCUGAGAGGGCGACCGGCCACAUUGGAACUGAGAGACGGUCCAAACUCCUACGGGAGGCAGCAGUGGGGAAUAUUGCGCAAUGGAGAAGAACUCUGACGCAGCAAUACCGCGUGAGCGAAGAAGGUCUUCGGAUCGUAAAGCUCUGUUAUCAGGGAAGAAGAAAAUGACGGUACCUGAUGAGCAAGUCCCGGCUAACUACGUGCCAGCCGCCGCCGUAACAC
rnacentral:rRNA from 1 species